ACUUGUGCUCUUCCUAUCCUGUGAAGCAGCAUUAGGCUUAUCUCUCCUAGUCAUAGUAUCGAACACAUACGGAACUACAUACAAAACCUAAACCUCCUACAGUGCUAAGAAUUAUUAUUCCCACUAUAAUACUAAUCCCA